rnacentral:rRNA from 1 species
UACGAAGGGGGCUAGCGUUGCUCGGAAUUACUGGGCGUAAAGCGCACGUAGGCGGGUUGUUAAGUCAGGGGUGAAAUCCUGGAGCUCAACUCCAGAACUGCCUUUGAUACUGGCAACCUAGAGACUGGAAGAGGUUAGUGGAAUUCCCAGUGUAGAGGUGAAAUUCGUAGAUAUUGGGAAGAACACCAGUGGCGAAGGCGGCUAACUGGUCCGAUACUGACGCUGAGGCGCGAAAGCGUGGGGAGCAAACAGG